UUCAAAUGUCGUAUCACAAGAACACAAUAGAGUCACAAUAUACCUCGCUAGCAUAUACAUAGAUCAUAAUGUAAAGUUUGUUAGCACACCUUAGUGCUGAUAAUAUCUGUUUUACCUAGUAUUAAAAAUUAGUCAGUGGGAUGAUUGUGUAUAGAUCAAAACUAUAUGGUAACAUUUGGUAUUCACCAAGAAAGGGGCAUGUUGGACACCCCUGUCUUAGUAUAUAUACUACAAAAAUGAUGAAACAAAUAAUGUAGAAUUUCUUCCAAUAGAUGUGCUAAUGGAAAUGAUAUAUAUACAGUAUAUGUGUAAAUAUGGUGUUUUUAAGCAAUAUAUUGCUAUGUAUGUGGUCAUAUACAUUUUGUAUUUAUCAUAACCAAAUUAUCCCAGCACUUGCGUAGCAUAAGCCCGUUUGUAUAUGGGUGCAAUGCAUGGACAUACAAGAUUGUUUAUAAAGGCAAUUAAAAUUCAGAUGUUUACAUUUA